UACGUAGGUGACCAGCGUUGUCCGGAUUUACUGGGCGUAAAGAGCGCGCAGGCGGUCGUUCAAGUCGAGUGUGAAAGCCCCCGGCUCAACUGGGGAGGGUCACUUGAUACUGAUCGACUCGAAGGCAGGAGAGGGAAGCGGAAUUCCCGGUGUAGUGGUGAAAUGCGUAGAUAUCGGGAGGAACACCAGUGGCGAAGGCGGUUCUCUGGGCAUGUCCUGACGCUGAGGAGCGAAAGUGUGGGGAGCGAACAGG
rnacentral:rRNA from 1 species